rnacentral:rRNA from 1 species
ACGAACGCUGGCGGCAGGCUUAACACAUGCAAGUCGAACGCGUGCAGCAAUGCACGAGUGGCGCACGGGUGAGUAACGCGUGGAUAUCUGCCUUUUGGUUCGGAAUAACCCCGGGAAACUGGGGCUAAUACCGGAUGGUUCCUACGGGAUAAAGAUUUAUCGCCAAAAGAUGAGUCCGCGUCCGAUUAGCUAGUUGGUGAGGUAAUGGCUCACCAAGGCGACGAUCGGUAGCUGGUCUGAGAGGACGAUCAGCCACACUGGGACUGAGACACGGCCCAGACUCCUACGGGAAGCAGCAGUGGGGAAUAUUGGACAAUGGGGGCAACCCUGAUCCAGCCAUGCCGCGUGAGUGAUGAAGGCCUUCGGGUUGUAAAGCUCUUUUGGCGGGGACGAUGAUGACGGUACCCGCAGAAUAAGCCCCGGCUAACUUCGUG